CCCUUAGAUGUUCUGGGCCGCACGCGCGCUACACUGAUGCAUGCAACGAGUUCUAUCCUUGGCCGGAAGGCCUGGGUAAUCUGUGAACGUGCAUCGUGAUAGGGAUAGAUUAUUGCAAUUAUUAAUCUUGAACGAGGAAUUCCUAGUAAACGCAAGUCAUCAGCUUGCAUUGAUUACGUCCCUGCCCUUUGUACACACCGCCCGUCGCACCUACCGAUCGAAGGUAAUGAUGAGCCCUCAGGAUUGUGGCCUCGUCGCGUCAGCGUCUUGGCUGCGAGAAGCUGUGCAAAUCCCUACCUUUAGAGGAAGGUGAAGUCGUAACA
rnacentral:rRNA from 1 species